UCCUUAGGGUGCGAGAGUUAAUCGGAAUUACUGGGCGUAAAGCGUGCGCAGGCGGUUCUAUAAGACAGAUGUGAAAUCCCCGGGCUCAACCUGGGAAUGGCAUUUGUGACUGUAGAGCUAGAGUACGGUAGAGGGGGAUGGAAUUCCGCGUGUAGCAGUGAAAUGCGUAGAUAUGCGGAGGAACACCGAUGGCGAAGGCAAUCCCCUGGACCUGUACUGACGCUCAUGCACGCAAGCGGGGGGCGCACACAGGCGGCGAUCACCCCGUAGUCC
rnacentral:rRNA from 1 species